rnacentral:rRNA from 1 species
UACGUAGGGUGCAAGCGUUGUCCGGAAUUAUUUGGGCGUAAAGAGCUCUGGUAGGACGGUCUGUCGCGUCGGCUGUGAAUCCCGAGGCGUCAACCCUCGGGUCUGACAGUCGAGUACGGGCAAAGCUAGAGUAUUGCGAGGGGAGACUGGAAUUCCUGGAUGUAGCGGUGAAAUGCGCAGAUACUCAGGAGGAACACCGGUGGCGAAGGCGGCCAUCUGGACGGAUACUGACGCUGGAGACGCGAAAGCGUCGGGGAGCAAACAGG